rnacentral:rRNA from 1 species
AUGGAGAAGGCGAGGAGGAGGCAGGUGCCGGCGUUCGGGGAGUGGAACUACUGCCACGGCUACGACGAGCCACCGGCCGAGCGCCACGCCGCCCCGGAGGACUGCAGCGACGUAUGGUUCAAGUACUCGCCGCCUCCGCGCAAGCCGGCGCCCAAGAAGACGAGGAGCGACGUGGCCCGGGAGAAGAGCAGGCGUGCGCGGGCGUUGGAAGGCGGCGGCCUGGCGCGCGCCACGUCCAGAGCUGCCUCCGCGUCCAGGGUGGUGCGGCCCGUCGACGAGGACCUGUACCAGGUGCCUCCGCCGGAGCUUGCCUCCCGCCGGUACCGGCCAAGACGGAAGAGGAGCCUGUGGAUGGAGUGCCUGGGCCUCAACUCGUGCGUCGCCUGA